GCGGACCUAGUUCAGCAGGUAGAACAGCUGACUUCCACGCAGCAAGUCGCCGGUUCGAUUCCGGCGGUCCGCUCCA
rnacentral:tRNA from 1 species